AAAUUUAGGAUCAAAUCUUUAAACCGAAGGCCUUCAAAGCCUUAAACAAGAGCCACCACCCUCUUAAUUUCU
rnacentral:tRNA from 1 species